rnacentral:tRNA from 1 species
GGGGACGUGGUGGAACUUGGUAGACACGCAAGCUUGAGGGGCUUGUCCUUGCAAAAGGGUGGGAGUUCAAAUCUCCCCGUCCCCA